CGGGGCGUAGCGCAGCCUGGUAGCGCACGUGCAUGGGGUGCACGGGGUCGAAGGUUCAAAUCCUUUCGCCCCGACCA
rnacentral:tRNA from 1 species